AUGUCGUCAUCCUCAGCGGCUCCCAUGGAGCGGCACCACUCCAUCGACGCGCAGCUCCGCCUCCUCGCCCCCGGCAAGGUCUCCGAGGACGACAAGCUCGUCGAGUACGACGCCCUCCUCGUCGACCGCUUCCUCGACAUCCUCCAGGACCUCCACGGCCCGCACCUCCGCGAGUUCGUGCAGGACUGCUACGAGGUGGCGGCGGAGUACGAGGGCGACCGCGACGCGGCCCGGCUGGACGAGCUCGGGGGCAGGCUCACGGGGCUGGCCCCCGCCGACUCCAUCGUCAUGGCCAGCUCCUUCUCCCACAUGCUCAACCUGGCCAACCUCGCCGAGGAGGUGCAGAUCGCGAACCGCCGCAGGAACAAGCUCAAGCGCGGCGACUUCGCCGACGAGGCCUCCGCCACCACCGAGUCCGACAUCGAGGAGACGCUCAAGAGGCUGGUGUCUGACCUGGGCAAGACCCGGGAGGAGGUGUUCGACGCGCUCAAGAACCAGACCGUCGACCUCGUCUUCACCGCCCACCCCACGCAGUCCAUCCGGCGGUCACUCCUCCAGAAGCACGGCAGGAUACGGAAUUGCCUGAGGCAGCUGUAUGCCAAGGACAUCACGGCCGACGACAAGCAAGAGCUCGAUGAGGCUCUUCAGAGAGAGAUUCAAGCUGCUUUCCGAACUGACGAAAUCCGGAGAACACAGCCCACUCCACAGGAUGAAAUGCGUGCCGGGAUGAGUUACUUCCAUGAAACUAUAUGGAAGGGUGUACCCAAGUUCUUACGCCGUGUGGACACAGCUCUUAAGAACAUUGGAAUCGAUGAGCGUCUUCCAUACAAUGCUCCUCUCAUUCAGUUCUCUUCUUGGAUGGGUGGUGACCGUGAUGGAAAUCCCAGAGUUACACCAGAGGUGACAAGGGAUGUAUGCCUGUUGGCCAGAAUGAUGGCUGCUAACUUGCACUUCUCACAGAUAGAAGAGCUCAUGUUUGAGCUCUCGAUGUGGCGAUGCAACGAUGAACUCCGUGUCCGUGCUGAGGAACUACACCGCGCUUCAAGGAAAGCUGAAAAACAUUACAUAGAGUUCUGGAAGCAAGUUCCCCCAACUGAACCUUACCGUGUGAUACUGGGCUAUGUACGGGACAAACUGUACUACACACGCGAACGUUCCCGCCAUCUUCUCACCAGUGGGUCUUCUGACAUCCCCGUGGACUCCACCUUCACCGAUGUCGAACAGUUUCUGGAGCCCCUCGAGCUGUGCUACCGAUCACUGUGCGAUUGCGGCGACCUCCCCAUGACCGAGGAGGUGGCCGACGUCCUCGGCACGUUCCGCGUCCUCGCCGAGCUCCCGCCGGACUGCUUCGGCGCCUACAUCAUCUCCAUGGCGACGGCGCCGUCCGACGUGCUCGCCGUCGAGCUCCUCCAGCGGGAGUGCCACGUGGGGCACCCCCUCAGGGUGGUCCCGCUGUUCGAGAAACUGGCCGACCUGGAGGCGGCCCCCGCGGCCGUCGCGCGGCUCUUCUCGAUCGACUGGUACAUGGACCGGAUCGGCGGCAAGCAGGAGGUCAUGAUCGGCUACUCCGACUCCGGCAAGGACGCCGGCCGCCUGUCCGCGGCGUGGCAACUGUACAAGGCGCAGGAGGAGCUGGUCAAGGUGGCGAAGCAGUACGGGGUGAAGCUGACCAUGUUCCACGGGCGAGGCGGCACGGUCGGCAGGGGCGGCGGGCCGACCCACCUGGCCAUACUGUCCCAGCCGCCGGAGACGGUGAACGGGUCGCUCCGCGUGACGGUGCAGGGCGAGGUGAUCGAGCACUCGUUCGGCGAGGAGCACCUCUGCUUCCGGACUCUGCAGCGGUUCACCGCGGCCACCCUGGAGCACGGCAUGCACCCGCCGGUCUCCCCCAAGCCCGAGUGGCGCGCCCUCAUGGACGAGAUGGCCGUCGUGGCCACCGAGGAGUACCGCGCCAUGGUCUUCAAAGAACCACGAUUCGUCGAGUACUUCAGAUCGGCGACACCUGAGACUGAGUACGGCAGGAUGAACAUCGGCAGCCGGCCGUCGAAGAGGAAGCCGAGCGGCGGCAUCGAGACGCUGCGCGCCAUCCCGUGGAUCUUCGCCUGGACGCAGACGAGGUUCCACCUCCCCGUGUGGCUCGGGUUCGGCGCCGCGUUCAAGCACAUCAUGCACAAGGACAUCAGGAACGUCCAGGCCCUCAGGGAGAUGUACAACGAGUGGCCCUUCUUCAGGGUCACGCUAGACCUGCUGGAGAUGGUGUUCGCCAAGGGAGACCCCGGGAUCGCCGCGCUCUACGACGAGCUGCUCGUCGCCGACGAGCUGAAGCCCCUCGGGGAGCAGCUGAGGAGCAACUACGAGGACACCAAGAAGCUGCUCGUCCAGGUUGCUGGCCAUAGGGAUGUGCUUGAAGACGACCCGUACCUGAAGCAACGGCUGCGGCUGCGUGACCCGUACAUCACCACCCUGAACGUGUGCCAGGCCUACACGCUGAAGCGGAUCAGGGACCCCAGCUUCCAGGUGACGGCGCAGCCGCCGCUGUCCAAGGAGUUCACCGACGAGAACCAGCCGGCGUCGCUGGUGAAGCUCAACGCGGCGAGCGAGUACGCGCCGGGGCUGGAGGACACGCUCAUCCUCACCAUGAAGGGCAUCGCCGCCGGCAUGCAGAACACGGGCUAG
rnacentral:rRNA from 1 species